rnacentral:rRNA from 1 species
AUUGAACGCUGGCGGCAUGCCUUACACAUGCAAGUCGAACGGUAACAGGUUAAGCUGACGAGUGGCGAACGGGUGAGUAAUGUAUCGGAACGUGCCCAGUCGUGGGGGAUAACUACUCGAAAGAGUGGCUAAUACCGCAUACGACCUGAGGGUGAAAGCGGGGGACCGUAAGGCCUCGCGCGAUUGGAGCGGCCGAUAUCAGAUUAGCUAGUUGGUGGGGUAAAAGCCCACCAAGGCGACGAUCUGUAGCUGGUCUGAGAGGACGACCAGCCACACUGGGACUGAGACACGGCCCAGACUCCUACGGGAGGCAGCAGUGGGGAAUUCUGGACAAUGGACGCAAGUCUGAUCCAGCCAGCCGCGUGCGGGAAGAAGGCCUUCGGGUUGUAAACCGCUUUUGUCAGGGAAGAAACGAGUUUCUCUAAUACAGAGACUUAAUGACGGUACCUGAAGAAUAAGCACCGGCUAACUACGUGCCAGCCGCCGCGGUAAGAC